GUACGGUAGUGUGCUAAACAGAGUCAGUACGGUAGUGUACUAAACAGAGUGAGUACGGUAGUGUGCUAAACAGAGUGAGUACGGUAGUGUGCUAAACAGAGUGAGUACGGUAGUGUGCUAAACAGAGUGAGUACGGUAGUAAACAGAGUUAGUACGGUAGUAAACAGAGUGAGUACGGUAGUGUAGUAAACAGAGUGAGUACGGUAGUGUGCUAAACAGUGAGUACGGUAGUGUAGUAAACAGAGUGAGUACGGUAGUGUGCUAAACAGAGAGAGUACUGUAAUGUACUAAACAGAGUGAGUACGGUAGUAAACAGAGUGAGUACGGUAGUAAACAGAGUGAGUACGGUAGUGAAGUAAACAGAGUGAGUACGGUAGUGAAGUAAACAGAGUGAGUACGGUAGUGUACUAAACAGAGUGAGUACGGUAGUGUACUAAACAGAGUGAGUACGGUAGUAAAUAGAGUGAGUACGGUAGUGUACUAAACAGCGUGAGUAAGGUAGUGUACUAAACAGAGUGAGUACGAUAGUGUACUAAACAGAGUGAGUACGGUAGUGAACUAAACAGAGUGAGUACGGUAGUAAACAGAGUGAGUAACGGUAGUGUGCCAAACAGAGUGAGUACGGUAGUGUGCUAAACAGAGAGUACGGUAGUGUGCUAAACAGAGUGAGUAGUGUAGUGUGCUAAACAGAGUGAGUACGGUAGUGUGCUAAACAGAGUGAGUACGGUAGUGUGCUAAACAGAGUGAGUAGUGUAGUGUGCUAAACAGAGUGAGUACGGUAGUAAACAGAGUGAGUACGGUAGUGUGCUAAACAGAGUGAGUACGGUAGUGUGCUAAACAGAGUGACUACGGUAGUAAACAGAGUGAGUACGGUAGUGUAGUAAACAGAGUGAGUACGGUAGUGUACUAAACAGAGUGAGUACGGUAGUUAACAGAGUGAGUACGGUAGUGUACUAAACAGAGUGAGUACGGUAGUGUACUAAACAGAGUGAGUACGGUAGUGUGCUAAACAGAGUCAGUACGGUAGUGUGCUAAACAGAGUGAGUACGGUAGUGUACUAAACAGAGUGAGUACGUUAGUGUGCUAAACAGAGUGAGUACGGUAGUGUACUAAACAGAGUGAGUAUGGUAGUAAACAGAGUGAGUACGGUAGUGUGCUAAACAGAGUGAGUACGGUAGUGUGCUAAACAGAGUGAGUACGGUAGUGUAGUAAACAGAGUGAGUACGGUAGUGUGCUAAACAGAGUGAGUACGGUAGUGUAGUAAACAGAGUGAGUACGGUAGUGUGCUAAACAGAGUGAGUACGGUAGUGUACUAAACAGAGUGAGUAUGGUAGUGUGCUAAACAGAGUGAGUACGGUAGUAAACAGAGUGAGUAGUGUACUAAACAGAGUGAGUACGGUAGUGUACUAAACAGAGUGAGUACGGUAGUGUACUAAACAGAGUGAGUAAGGUAGUGUGCUAAACAGAGUGAGUACGGUAGUAAACAGAGUGAGUACGGUAGUGUACUAAACAGAGUGAGUACGGUAGUGUACUAAACAGAGUGAGUACGGUAGUGUACUAAACAGAGUGAUUACGGUAGUGUGCUAAACAGAGUGAGUACGGUAGUGAACACAGUGAGUACGGUAAUGUGCUAAACAGAGUGAGUACGGUAUUGUAGUAAACAGAGUGAGUACGGUAGUGUACUAAACAGAGUGAGUACGGUAGUGUACUAAACAGAGUGAGUACGGUAGUGUGCUAAACAGAGUGAGUACGGUAGUGUAGUAAACAGAGUGAGUACGGUAGUGUGCUAAACAGAGUGAGUACUGUAAUGUACUAAACAGAGUGAGUACGGUAGUAAACAGAGUGAGUACGGUAGUGAAGUAAACAGAGUGAGUACGGUAGUAAACAGAGUGAGUACGGUAGUGUACUAAACAGAGUGAGUACGGUAGUAAACAGAGUGAGUACGGUAGUGUACUAAACAGAGUGAGUACGGUAGUAAACAGAGUGAGUACGGUAGUAAACAGAGUGAGUACGGUAGUAAAAUGAGUGAGUACGGUAGUAAACAGAGUGAGUACGGUAGUGAAGUAAACAGAGUGAGUACGGUAGUGUACUAAACAGAGUGAGUACGGUAGUGUACUAAACAGAGUGAGUACGGUAGUGUACUAAACAGAGUGAGUACGGUAGUGUACUAAACAGAGUGAGUACGGUAGUGUGCUAAACAGAGUCAGUACGGUAGUGUACUAAACAGAGUGAGUACGGUAGUAAACAGAGUGAGUACGGUAGUGAAGUAAACAGAGUGAGUACGGAAGUGUACUAAACAGAGUGAGUACGGUAGUGUACUAAACAGAGUGAGUACGGUAGUGUACUAAACAGAGUGAGUACGGUAGUGUUCUAAACAGAGUGAGUACGGUAGUGUACUAAACAGAGUGAGUAAGGUAGUGUGCUAAAAAGAGUGAGUACGGUAAUGUGCUAAACAGAGUGAGUACGGUAGUGUAGUAAACAGAGUGAAUACGGUAGUGUACUAAACAGAAUGAGUACGGUAGUAAACAGAGUGAGUAUGGUAGUGUAGUAAACAGAGUGAGUACGGUAGUGUGCUAAACAGAGUGAGUACUGUAAUGUACUAAACAGAGUGAGUACGGUAGUAAACAGAGUGAGUACGGUAGUGUACUAAACAGAGUGAGUACGGUAGUGUACUAAACAGAGUGAGUACGGUAGUGUACUAAACAGAGUUAGUACGGUAGUGUCCUAAACAGAGUGAGUAAGGUAGUGUGCUAAACAGAGUGAGUACGGUAUUGUAUUAAACAGAGUGAGUACGGUAGUGUACUAAACAGAGUGAGUACGGUAGUGUAGUAAACAGAGUGAGUACGGUGUGUGUGCUAAACAGAGUGAGUACGGUAGUGUAGUAAACAGAGUGAGUACGGUAGUGUACUAAACAGAGUGAGUAUGGUAGUGUGCUAAACAGAGUGAGUACGGUAGUAAACAGAGUGAGUAGUGUACUAAACAGAGUGAGUACGGUAGUGUGCUAAACAGAGUGAGUACGGUAGUGUAGUAAACAGAGUGAGUACGGUAGUGUGCUAAACAGAGUGAGUACGGUAUUGUAGUAAACAGAGUGAGUACGGUAGUGUACUAAACAGAGUGAGUACGGUAGUGUAGUAAACAGAGUGAGUACGGUAGUGUGCUAAACAGAGUGAGUACGGUAGUGUAGUAAACAGAGUGAGUACGGUAGUGUACUAAACAGAGUGAGUAUGGUAGUGUGCUAAACAGAGUGAGUACGGUAGUAAACAGAGUGAGUAGUGUACUAAACAGAGUGAUUACGGUAGUGUACUAAACAGAGUGAGUACGGUAGUGUAGUAAACAGAGUGAGUACGGUAGUGUGCUGAACAGAGUGAGUACGGUAGUGUACUAAACAGAGUGAGUAUGGUAGUGUGCUAAACAGAGUGAGUACGGUAGUAAACAGAGUGAGUAGUGUACUAAACAGAGUGAGUACGGUAGUGUACUAAACAGAGUGAGAACGGUAGUGUACUAAACAGAGUGAGUAAGUUAGUGUGCUAAACAGAGUGAGUACGGUAGUAAACAGAAUGAGUACGGUAGUGUACUAAACAGAGUGAGUACGGUAGUGUACUAAACAGAGUGAGUACGGUAGUGUACUAAACAGAGUGAUUACGGUAGUGUGCUAAACAGAGUGAGUACGGUAGUGAACACAGUGAGUACGGUAAUGUGCUAAACAGAGUGAGUACGGUAUUGUAGUAAACAGAGUGAGUACGGUAGUGUACUAAACAGAGUGAGUACGGUAGUGUACUAAACAGAGUGAGUACGGUAGUGUGCUAAACAGAGUGAGUACGGUAGUGUAGUAAACAGAGUGAGUACGGUAGUGUGCUAAACAGAGUGAGUACUGUAAUGUACUAAACAGAGUGAGUACGGUAGUAAACAGAGUGAGUAUGGUAGUGAAGUAAACAGAGUGAGUACGGUAGUAAACAGAGUGAGUACGGUAGUGUACUAAACAGAGUGAGUACGGUAGUAAACAGAGUGAGUACGGUAGUGUACUAAACAGAGUGAGUACGGUAGUAAACAGAGUGAGUACGGUAGUAAACAGAGUGAGUACGGUAGUAAAAUGAGUGAGUACGGUAGUAAACAGAGUGAGUACGGUAGUGAAGUUAACAGAGUGAGUACGGUAGUGUACUAAACAGAGUGAGUACGGUAGUGUAAUAAACAGAGUGAGUACGGUAGUGUACUAAACAGAGUGAGUACGGUAGUGUACUAAACAGAGUGAGUACGGUAGUGUGCUAAACAGAGUCAGUACGGUAGUGUACUAAACAGAGUGAGUACGGUAGUGUGCUAAACAGAGUGAGUACGGUAGUGUGCUAAACAGAGUGAGUACGGUAGUGUGCUAAACAGAGUGAGUACGGUAGUAAACAGAGUGAGUACGGUAGUAAACAGAGUGAGUACGGUAGUGUGCUAAACAGAGUGAGUACGGUAGUGUGCUAAACAGAGUGAGUACGGUAGUGUAGUAAACAGAGUGAGUACGGUAGUGUGCUAAACAGUGAGUAUGGUAGUGUAGUAAACAGAGUGAGUACGGUAGUGUGCUAAACAGAGAGAGUACUGUAAUGUACUAAACAGAGUGAGUACGGAAGUAAACAGAGUGAGUACGGUAGUAAACAGAGUGAGUACGGUAGUGAAGUAAACAGAGUGAGUACGGUAGUAAACAGAGUGAGUACGGUAGUGUAAUAAACAGAGUGAGUACGGUAGUAAACAGAGUGAGUACGGUAGUAAACAGAGUGAGUACGGUAAAAAACAGAGUGAGUACGGUAGUAAACAGAGUGAGUACGGUAGUGAAGUAAACAGAGUGAGUACGGAAGUGUACUAAACAGAGUGAGUACGGUAGUGUACCAAACAGAGUGAGUACGAUAGUGUACUAAACAGAGUGAGUACGGUAGUGAACCAAACAGAGUGAGUAA
rnacentral:lncRNA from 1 species